CGAUGAAGAACGCAGCUAAUUGCGCGUCAACUUGUGAACUGCAGGACACAUGAACAUCGACAUUUCGAACGCACAUUGCGGUCCUCGGAUACGAUUCCCGGACCACGCCUGGCUGAGGGUCG
rfam:Trichomalopsis sarcophagae strain Alberta scaffold33781, whole genome shotgun sequence.